CAGCAGCCGCGGUAAUACGUAGGUGGCAAGCGUUGUCCGGAAUUAUUGGGCGUAAAGCGCGCGCAGGUGGUCUCUUAAGUCUGAUGUGAAAGCCCCCGGCUCAACCGGGGAGGGUCAUUGGAAACUGGGAGACUUGAGUGCAGGAGAGAAGAGUGGAAUUCCACGUGUAGCGGUGAAAUGCGUAGAGAUGUGGAGGAACACCAGUGGCGAAGGCGACUCUUUGGCCUGUAACUGACACUGAGGCGCGAAAGCGUGGGGAGCAAACAGGAUUAGAUACCCUGGUAGUCCACGCCGUAAACGAUGAGUGCUAAGUGUUAGAGGGUUUCCGCCCUUUAGUGCUGCAGCAAACGCAUUAAGCACUCCGCCUGGGGAGUACGGCCGCAAGGCUGAAACUCAAAGGAAUUGACGG
rnacentral:rRNA from 1 species